rnacentral:rRNA from 1 species
GAAACCUGGUUGAUCCUGCCAGUAGUCAUACGCUCGUCUAAAAGAUUAAGCCAUGCAUGUCUAAGUAUAAAUGCUUUAUACUGUGAAACUGCGAAUGGCUCAUUAUAUCAGUUAUAGUUUAUUUGAUAGUACCUUACUACUUGGAUAACCGUAGUAAUUCUAGAGCUAAUACAUGCGUAAAGUCCCGAUGGGAU